rnacentral:lncRNA from 1 species
ACAUCAGAGUUCUACUCCUAAUAACAAAUGUUUAAUUUUUAAUGAAAUAUUCAAGCCUCAUGUUUUCCAACAGAACACAAAUGUGACAUGACGCUUCUCCACGGAAGCAACAAGUGUGGGGUUAAGCAGGGAGAACGAAGGUGGUAACAGAGGCCGGUGUCAAGGGAGUGUGAAGGUUUCAGAGAGUGAUUCAUCCUAAAUCCUGCUUCUCCCUAUAUGGCAUGUAAACCCUUCCAGAUUCCUGGAAACUACAUCCUGGUUGUUUAUCUCAGCAAGGUGAGCCGUCGACCGAAGGCUCGUGACCACUAUCUCGAAAAGCAGGCUUUAAGCAGUCUUGAAUUUGAAUCUGAGCUCCUCACUUCUUGGCUUAAGCAUGUCUAUGAAUCUUCUGAGACCAUCUCCUCAUCUGCAAAAUUGGGGACAAGACUUGCUGCUUAUCAAUCUUUGCAGUAGAGGGAAUUCUGUGGCAGGCAGCUAUCAGACUUGAACUGCAAUACCGGCUCUUCCUGGCUUUCCAGCUUGUGGGCCCCGCCUCCAUAAUCAUGUGAACCAUUUCCUUAAAAUCAAUCACCCCCUGUGACUUAUUUAUAUAUAUAUGUAUAUGAUCUGUUUCUCUGGGGAACCCUGACUAAUACAAUGAUCUAAACCAAUUUUCUGUUUUGAUUUUAGCUUUGUAUUACGGCAAUUUGCUAUCUAUCCAAAAAUCAAUAAAAUAGAAUUAAAAACUAAAAAAAAAAAAAAAAAAA